UUGAUUUUUCCAGGCUAUCAUCCUAGUUUGAAACCCAUUUGCUCUCUGAAUAAAUUGUUCUUUGAUAGAGGAAGGUUUUGCAAGCUGGACCACUGGUUUUGUGGAGUGGAGAGUAGCUUUUACAAAGAAAUUCCUACUAAUCAGCAUCAUGGCUCCACUGAUUGAGGCAUCCUUUAAGGAUUUGCUUUAACUCACUCACACUGUCCUUCCUCGGAACUGGCGAGGUGGCCAUUUUUCUCUGGAUUUUCAGAAGAGACAACAAGGUCAGAGAAGCCAGUUGACUUGCCUGAAGUCACAAGCUGAUCAGUCAUGACGCUUGACUGUGCUUUCAGGUACUCGUGUGUGCAACAGAAUAUCCAGGAAACUUCUGAACGGUGCUGGGACACACUUGGAGUCCUGAAAAUUCUACAAGUUGCAAGGGGACAAGAUUUCAAGAAAUUUUUACUUUCUUCGGAUUCAGGACAUUUCUCUUCUUAUGACACUUUCCCAUCUUGAUGAAUCCAGUUCUGUUCCUUCUAUGAGACUACAUUACUAACUGGAGUAAAGAUUGUAUUUGUAAGUCUCCUUGCUUCUAGAUGUGGCGGUAUAACUAAAUUCUGGCCAGUGAGGAUAAAUAUAUAUGUUCUGGAACAUACCCUUAAAGGUAGAGGCCUGUCAUGGGUCUUCUAUUGCCUAAGCAGUAGCUGGGAUGGCUGGAACACCAUCUUUGGAUCAAGAGAAUAAUAAUCAUCCUAGUAAUGAUAAAAUAGAAUCUGGAUGCAGUCCAGGGUUUAGAUGACCACAGAACCAGCAACCAAACCCAUUCUGCUCUGCUGAUUCUCCAGGUAUAUAUGAGUAUCGUUGUCAUUUUUUUUUUGUUGCUGAGUCAAAAUACCUAAUACCCAUUGUUAAAGGAGGAAAGGUUUAUUUUGGCUCAUAGUUUAUAGAGGUGUUAGUCCAUAGUUGGCUGGCUCAAGGCAGGUUGCCAUAGCACAGGGCAUCAAAGAGGAGAAACAGUUUAUGGCAGGGUAGGCAGGAGGCAGCAAGCAGCAGCAGCACCUGCAGCAGCCACAGCAGGAAACUUCCUUUUCCCUUUUAUCCCAUCCAGGCUACAAGCCUUUGGGGUAAUGCCACCCAUGCCUAGAGUGGGCCUUCUUCCCAUAAUGUAUAUACAGAACUAUGCUAAACCAAUCAGUGGACUAAUUUACUUAUCACAUCCUUAAUCCAUAUCCAUACACCUCAAAUCCAGUCACCUCCAAAAAGACCCACUGAUGAGUGCAUGAGGCUUUGAGGAGAUGUCUAUAUAGAAGCCAUAAAUAGGGUGGAAGUAAAACCAUGUCUGCUCAUUUUUUUUUGCAAAUGUUGCCUAUUGUACACAGUUGUAUUUGACUUUUAACUAUAUAUGUGUGUAUAUAUAAAUAUGUGCAUAUAUCAUCUCCUCCAGAAAAUUCUAUCAUCCAUGAAUAUGUGACAUAUUUACCACUGUGGGUAGGGGUGAAACCCUGGCUCUGAAUGAUUUGCAUCCAAAAAACAAUGCAGGCCUCCUGUUCUAAUUAAUUUGGAUCAGACCCAUGGAAUUUAAAAUAUUGUAAGUAAAAAAAAAUGUAAGUAAGCACUUCUAAUUAGAAGGCAAUUUAGUUAAGUUAAGUCAUUUUGGUAGUCUUUCCUUAAGUGGAAAUUCUGAAAACUCAUUUCUCCUUUUAGCCCUAUAAAUUAUAAAACUAACACAUUAGAUGUUCUGAUUGACUUACACGCCAUGUAACCAAAUGACUAUGGAAACCCAGAUCAAUUCCCCUUAGUUGAGGGCACUGAGGUAGAAGUAAGCAUUCCUUCUUCAACCUCCCUCCCCCAAACUCUCUUGUGUCAAAGCCAAAUAUUGCAGGGAUUUGAAAAAUGUAUGUCAUGAGGUAGAACCAGACAAUUCUCCAAACAACCCAAGUUAGAGUGAGUCAAAAUUGAAUAAUUCCUUUACUGAAAGCACUCUCUUCCACGGAUAUUUGAAUGAACAGACUGAAGAAUGAAUCUCAGAAGGCUCAUUUCAUUUUCCUGUUUGCCAUUUUCAUCUUGCCUCAUAACAUCAAAUACUGGAAGAACUACUACAAACUUUAGUCCUACAUGACUUGGAGAGGGCCC
rnacentral:lncRNA from 1 species